rnacentral:sRNA from 1 species
GCGGACGAAUAGUGAGAACAGCGCGCUG